rnacentral:tRNA from 1 species
GCUCACGUAACUCAGCCCAGACGAGAGUGCCGCGGUCCUAACGCGGAGGUCGCAGGAGCGAAGCCUGCCGUGAGCA